CGAAAGCGAGUCUGAAGAGGGCGCUAUAGUCGCAUGUUCUAGACCCGAAGCGGGGUGAUCUAGCCAUGGGCAGGUUGAAGCGUGGGUAAGACUGCGUGGAGGACCGAACCCACCAACGUUGAAAAGUUGGGGGAUGACCUGUGGUUAGGGGUGAAAGGCCAAUCAAACUCCGUGAUAGCUGGUUCUCCCCGAAAUGCAUUUAGGUGCAGCGUCGCGUGUUUCUUGCCGGAGGUAGAGCACUGGAUGGUCUAGGGGGCCCACAAGCUUACUGAAAUCAGCCAAACUCCGAAUGCCGGUAAGUGAGAGCGCGGCAGUGAGACUGCGGGGGAUAAGCUUCGUAGUCGAGAGGGAAACAGCCCAGAUCGCCAGCUAAGGCCCCUAAGCGUGUGCUAAGUGGAAAAGGAUGUGGGAUCGCAUGGACAACCAGGAGGUUGGCUUAGAAGCAGCCACCCUUUAAAGAGUGCGUAAUAGCUCACUGGUCAAGUGGUUCCGCGCCGACAAUGUAGCGGGGCUCAAGCACACCGCCGAAGCUGUGGCAUUCACACAUUAACUUCGCUUGUCGAUUUAGUCGGCUUGUGCAGGUGUGUGGAUGGGUAGGGGAGCGUCGUAUGGCGGGUGAAGCGGCGGAGUGAUCCAGCCGUGGACGCCAUACGAGUGAGAAUGCAGGCAUGAGUAGCGAAUGAAGGGUGAGAACCCCUUCCGCCGGAUGACCAAGGGUUCCAGGGCCAGGCUAAUCCGCCCUGGGUGAGUCGGGGCCUAAGGCGAGGCCGAGAGGCGUAGUCGAUGGAUAACGGGUUGAUAUUCCCGUACCCGCAAAAGAGCGCCCAAGACGAACUUCGUUGUACUAACUACUUGAACAAUUCAAUGGCUUCGGCCGGCGAUGCGGGAGACUAGGACCUUGACGGGUAGUAGUUUAGCGAUGGGGUGACGCAGGAAGGUAGAUGAUCCCGGCCGGUGGUUGUGCCGGGGUAAGCGUGUAGGACGUACCGUAGGCAAAUCCGCGGUGCAUAUAGUCUGAGACGUGAUGCCGAGCCGUUCUGGUGAAGUCAUUGAUCCUAUGCUGCCGAGAAAAGCCUCUAGCGAUGUUCUGAGCGGCCCGUACCCUAAACCGACACAGGUGGUCAGGUAGAGAAUACCGAGGCGACGGGUGAACUGUGGUUAAGGAACUCGGCAAAUUGCCCCCGUAACUUAGGGAGAAGGGGGGCCGGACGCGUGAAGCCCCUUGCGGGUGGAGCGUGGUAUGGCCGCAGAG
rnacentral:ncRNA from 1 species